rnacentral:rRNA from 1 species
UAGGGAAUUUUCGGCAAUGGGGGGAACCCUGACCGAGCAACGCCGCGUGAACGAAGAAGUACUUCGGUAUGUAAAGUUCUUUUAUUAGGGAAGAAGAGCUAGUGGAAAAGCUAGAGUGACGGUACUUAAUGAAUAAGCCCCGGCUAACUAUGUGCCAGCAGCCGCGGUAAUACAUAGGGGGCGAGCGUUAUCCGGAAUUAUUGGGCGUAAAGGGUGCGUAGGUGGCAAUAUAAGUCUUUGGUGUAAGUUCAGUGCUUAACUCUGUGAUGCUAAAGAAACUAUAUAGCUUGAGUGUGGUAGAGGCAAGUGGAAUUCCAUGUGUAGCGGUAAAAUGCGUAAAUAUAUGGAGGAACACCAGUGGCGAAGGCGGCUUGCUGGGCCAUAACUGACACUGAGGCACGAAAGCGUGGGGAGCAAACAGGAUUAGAUAUCCCUGGUAGUCCACGCCGUAAACGAUGAGUACUAAGUGUUGGAG